GCUGGGCACUGUGGCUCAUACCUGUAAUCCCAGCAGCUUGGAGGCUGAGAUAGGAGAGUUGCAAGUUUAAAGCCAACCUCAGCAACAGCAAGGUGCUAAGCAACUCAGUGAGAUCCUGUCUCUA
rnacentral:sRNA from 1 species